AUUGAACGCUGGCGGCAGGCCUAACACAUGCAAGUCGAGCGAGCGGCGGACGGGUGAGUAAUGUCUGGGAAACUGCCUGAUGGAGGGGGAUAACUACUGGAAACGGUAGCUAAUAACGCAUACCAUACGAUGUUCCCAGAUGGGAUUGGCUGGUAGGUGGGGUAACGGCUCACCUAGGCGACGAUCCCUAGCUGGUCUGAGAGGAUGACCAGCCACACUGGAACUGAGACACGGUCAAGACUCCUACGGGAGGCAGCAGGGGUGAAUAUUGCAAAAUGGGCGCAAGCCUGAUGAAGCCAUGCCGCGGGUGUGAAGAAGGCCUUCGGGUUGUAAAGCACUUUCAGCGGGGAGGCGUUACCCGAAGAAGAAGCACCGGCUAACUCCGUGCCAGCCGCCGCGGUAAUAC
rnacentral:rRNA from 1 species